AAUUUGAAGAAAAAAUGUGAAUAAAAUAAAAUGACAUAAUAGUAAAAAAUGAGAAGGAGGAAUGAAGAGAAAGUAUGAAGCUUUUAUUAGUGUAAAUUAAUAUAAAGGAAAGAGUAAUUUAAAUAGUUUGGUAGUAGUUAAUUUUAAUAGAAAGAUAGUCGAUACUUAAAAAAAAAUGGGAAAAAGAAAAUGAAGUGUUAAAAAAUUAAAAAUAAAAAUGAGAAAGUGUGGGGGAAAAAAUAUGAAAGAGAUUUG
rnacentral:lncRNA from 1 species